ACCUUUACACCUGUCGUACCACGUCCAGAAAGUAAUAACAAAAGAGUACAACUCUCAACGAUGGAUCUCUUGGCUCUCGCAUCGAUGAAGAACGCAGCGAAUUGCGAUAUGUAAUGUGAAUUGCAGAAUUCAGUGAAUC
rnacentral:rRNA from 1 species